rnacentral:rRNA from 1 species
AUUGAACGCUGGCGGCAGGCUUAACACAUGCAAGUCGAGCGGGGUGAUGGUGCUUGCACUAUCACUUAGCGGCGGACGGGUGAGUAAUGCUUAGGAAUCUGCCUAUUAGUGGGGGACAACAUCUCGAAAGGGAUGCUAAUACCGCAUACGUCCUACGGGAGAAAGCAGGGGAUCACUUGUGACCUUGCGCUAAUAGAUGAGCCUAAGUCGGAUUAGCUAGUUGGUGGGGUAAAGGCCUACCAAGGCGACGAUCUGUAGCGGGUCUGAGGGGAUGAUCCGCCGCACUGAGACUGAGAAACGGCCCAGACGCCUACGGGAGGCAGCAGUGGGGAAUAUUGGACAAUGGGGGGAACCCUGAUCCAGCCAUGCCGCGUGUGUGAAGAAGGCCUUAUGGUUGUAAAGCACUUUAAGCGAGGAGGAGGCUCUUUUGGUUAAUACCCAAGAUGAGUGGACGUUACUCGCAGAAUAAGCACCGGCUAACUCUGUGCCAGCCGCCGCCGUAA